rnacentral:rRNA from 1 species
AGUGAUCAUUGGCGGCAGGCUUAACACAUGCAAGUCGAGCGAGGCUAAGAGCCGAGCGGCGAACGGGUGAGUAAUACUUAGGAAUCUACCCCGGAGUGUGGGACAACGUUCAGAAAUGGACGCUAAUACCACGUAAUCCAUAUUGGGAAAGCGCGCAGCGCUCUGGGAUGAGCCCAUGUCUGAUUAGCUAGUUGGUGGGGUAAAGGCCUACCAAGGCGACGAUCAGUAGCUGGUCUGAGAGGAUGAUCAGCCACACUGGAACUGAGACACGGUCCAGACUACUACGGGAGGCAGCAGUGGGGAAUAUUGGACAAUGGGGGCAACCCUGAUCAGCCAUGCCGCGUGUGCGAUGAAGGCCCUAGGGUUGUAAAGCACUUUUGGCGGGGACGACGAUGACGGCACCCGCAGAAUAAGUCACGGCUAACUUCGUGCCAGCCGCCGCAGUAA